UACAGAGGUGCUCAAGCGUUUGUUCGGAUUCAUUGGGGCGUAAAGGGCGCGUAGGCGGCGUAGGUAAGUCGGGUGUGAAAAUCCCCCGAGGCUCAACCUGGGAACUGCAUCCGAUACUGGAAUGGCUUGAAUUCGGGGAGAGGGAUGGCAGAAUUCCAGGUGUAGCGGUGAAAUGCGUAGAUAUCUGGAGGAAUACCGGUGGCGA
rnacentral:rRNA from 1 species